rnacentral:tRNA from 1 species
AAUACUUUGGCAGAAAAAGUGCAAUAAAUUUAGAAUUUAUACAUAUGUAUAAAUAAUACAUAAGUAUUA